AUGUCUAAGUAUAAGCAAUUAUACCGUGAAACUGCGAAUGGCUCAUUAAAUCAGUUAUCGUUUAUUUGAUAGUACCUUACUACUUGGAUACCUGUGGUAAUUCUAGAGCUAAUACAUGCUAAAAACCCCGACUUCGGGAGGGGUGUGUUUAUUAGAUAAAAAACCAAUGCCCUUCGGGGCUCUCUUGGUGAUUCAUGAUAACCUAACGGAUCGCAUGGCCUUGCGCCGGCGACGGUUCAUUCAAAUUUCUGCCCUAUCAACUUUCGAUGGUAAGGUCUUGGCUUACCAUGGUUUCAACGGGUAACGGGGAGUUAGGGCUCGACUCCGGAGAAGGAGCCUGAGAAACGGCUACUACAUCCAAGGAAGGCAGCAGGCGCGCAAAUUACCCAAUCCCGACACGGGGAGGUAGUGACAAUAAAUACUGAUACAGGGCUCUUUUGGGUCUUGUAAUCGGAAUGAGUACAAUUUAAAUCCCUUAACGAGGAACAAUUGGAGGGCAAGUCUGGUGCCAGCAGCCGCGGUAAUUCCAGCUCCAAUAGCGUAUAUUAAAGUUGUUGCAGUUAAAAAGCUCGUAGUUGAACCUUGGGCCUGGCUGGCCGGUCCGCCUCACCGCGUGUACUGGUCCGGCCGGGCCUUUCUUUCUGGGGAGUCGCAUGCCCUUCACUGGGUGUGUCGGCGGACCAGGACUUUUACUGUGAACAAAUUAGAGUGUUCAAAGCAGGCCUUUGCUCGAAUACAUUAGCAUGGAAUAAUAGAAUAGGACGUGCGGUCCUAUUUUGUUGGUUUCUAGGAUCGCCGUAAUGAUUAAUAGGCUCAGUCGGGGGCAUCAGUAUUCAAUUGUCAGAGGUGAAAUUCUUGGAUUUAUUGAAGACUAACUACUGCGAAAGCAUUUGCCAAGGAUGUUUUCAUUAAUCAGUGAACGAAAGUUAGGGGAUCGAAGACGAUCAGAUACCGUCGUAGUCUUAACCGUAAACUAUGCCGACUAGGGAUCGGGCGAUGUUUCUAUCUUGACUCGCUCGGCACCUUACGAGAAAUCAAAG
rnacentral:rRNA from 1 species